AUCUGGCUGAAGAGUUCGAAAUAGAACGAAACGCGCGUCGAACUGUAU
rfam:Schistosoma margrebowiei strain Zambia genome assembly, scaffold: SMRZ_contig0000346